rnacentral:rRNA from 1 species
GCCUACGGGGCGCAGCAGUGAGGAAUAUUGGUCAAUGGGCGGGAGCCUGAACCAGCCAAGCCGCGUGAGGGAAGAAGGUACAGCGUAUCGUAAACCUCUUUUGUCAGGGAACAAAGGCGGGGACUAGUCACCGGAUGAGGGUACCUGAGGAUAAAGCAUCGGCUAAAUCCGUGCCAGCAGCCGCGGUAAUACGGAGGAUGCGAGCGUUAUCCGGAUUUAUUGGGUUUAAGGGGGGCGCAGGCGGACUGUUACGUCAGCGGGAAA